UUACGACGAUUACAUUCUGUACAUGGAGGAGGUUUAAACAGCAAGUACCUGCAAUAUAUGAAUACCAAGCAGUUAAAUAUCACAGAACAACACAUCUACCAAAAGCAACAACAAAGGGAGUACUAUACAAUACACAUAAACUUGACCAAAAUAAAUACGUAUAUUGGUAAUAUUUCACACAUGUUUCUAAGUAACCUUUAAUUGAUAGCAUAAACUUGACCAAAAUAAAUACUACUGUAAGAAAUCAUCUUUUAUAAGCAAAAACGAAAACCCUGAUGUAACCUAUGAUAGGUCCACUCAGUUAAACAGGGGUGUUUGGGAAGGUUGCUGUGCAGUGUGCUUAUUGGAGAGACCUACAACAGUCCCAUUAGUCAACUUGGAAGCCUUGUGGAACCAGAUUACGAACCUGAAUAGUGGAAAUGUGUGCAGUGUGCUUAUUGGAGAGACCUACAACAGUCCCAUUAGUCAACUUGGAAGCCUUGUGGAACCAGAUUACGAACCUGAAUAGUGGAAAUGUGAAAUAUUGAAGAUUUGAAGGUGCGAAACAAAAAAAGUGAACUAUUUUAGAUACAUAACAAGCUCAACUAACACUCCAUAACAAUAACCCUGCCAACAUUACCUCAUACGGAAAACUGAGCAAGCCUCCUUUUGCAGGGGUAAAUCGAUUGUCCCUAUGCUUCUCAUAUAUGAGAUGAUCCUCACAAAACUACUUUCCUAUUACUGGCUUCUAAAUCACUCCUCCCAAUUGCCCCUCCUAAAUUUAAUUAAUACACACAGAACCCACUGAACACAUAACUCCCAUGAUGGACGUACCACCUAAAGCCAAAGGAAAAAUAGUUAUUUCCAGCCUUACAGGUAGAGUGUAUUGUUCAUUCAUAACUUUUGUUAGACCUGUGGUACACCCUAAAGCAAUUUCAAAUUACAGCUUGGCAAAAUCUUAAACUACAGUUAAAAAUUUGAAUUACAGUAAAUUUCAAACAACCCAAAUAAUAGCGGAAACAAAUGUAAUCAUAUUAAUUAAGCUAACCUUGUCCCAUCAGAGUUAGUGUCUAAUGGGAUCAGAUAAGAGUUGGGAGAAUCAGCAGCAGCAUCAAGUAUUUCUUGGGGGGUAAAUGCAAAAGGAGACUUGUGUGCUGGGUAUACUUUUGGUCUUCUUAUGGUAACUCGAUGUCCUUUGACUCCAGUAUCCUGAUCUUGAGAAAUAAAUUCUUUUGGAAGCUUACUGAAGUAAUUAGGGAUUACAGAAAGUAAACAACCGAAAGUAAAUAAAUAAUUGGGGAUUACAGUUACUAAACAACGAAUUAAUUAGUACAUACCAGUCGUUGGGACCAGAAGUUAUGUAAUAGUACUCCUUGAAAUCUAUAUUACCUAGAAAGUUUUCAUUGUAAGAAGGUCGAGGUGUAUAACCAAAAGUACGCUUGGGCGAAGGAGGUGAUGGUGGUGGUGAUGGUUUUCCUACUACACUAUAGUAAGCUCGUGCUCGCAAAGGAGGACCAGACAACUGCUCCAUCAGAGAGAGAGCGAAUGAAACCUCGCCUUAUCUAAUUUAUGGCGACUCCCCCCACCGCCUUCUUCU
rnacentral:lncRNA from 1 species